AUGGACAUGAGUGUACUUUCCUCAAAUUAUCAACUAUGACUAUAUUUUGUGCAAAUGUAUCAGUCUUCCAAGCCAUAAAUCUGAUCCAA
rnacentral:snoRNA from 1 species